UGCGCGGAAGAUGUAACGGGGCUAAACCAUGCACCGAAGCUGCGGCAGCGACGCUUAUGCGUUGUUGGGUAGGGGAGCGUUCUGUAAGCCUGUGAAGGUGUACUGUGAGGUAUGCUGGAGGUAUCAGAAGUGCGAAUGCUGACAUAAGUAACGAUAAAGCGGGUGAAAAGCCCGCUCGCCGGAAGACCAAGGGUUCCUGUCCAACGUUAAUCGGGGCAGGGUGAGUCGACCCCUAAGGCGAGGCCGAAAGGCGUAGUCGAUGGGAAACAGGUUAAUAUUCCUGUACUUGGUGUUACUGCGAAGGGGGGACGGAGAAGGCUAUGUUGGCCGGGCGACGGUUGUCCCGGUUUAAGCGUGUAGGCUGGUUUUCCAGGCAAAUCCGGAAAAUCAAGGCUGAGGCGUGAUGACGAGGCACUACGGUGCUGAAGCAACAAAUGCCCUGCUUCCAGGAAAAGCCUCUAAGCAUCAGGUAACAUCAAAUCGUACCCCAAACCGACACAGGUGGUCAGGUAGAGAAUACCAAGGCGCUUGAGAGAACUCGGGUGAAGGAACUAGGCAAAAUGGUGCCGUAACUUCGGGAGAAGGCACGCUGAUAUGUAGGUGAAGCGACUUGCUCGUGGAGCUGAAAUCAGUCGAAGAUACCAGCUGGCUGCAACUGUUUAUUAAAAACACAGCACUGUGCAAACACGAAAGUGGACGUAUACGGUGUGACGCCUGCCCGGUGCCGGAAGGUUAAUUGAUGGGGUCAGCGCAAGCGAAGCUCUUGAUCGAAGCCCCGGUAAACGGCGGCCGUAACUAUAACGGUCCUAAGGUAGCGAAAUUCCUUGUCGGGUAAGUUCCGACCUGCACGAAUGGCGUAAUGAUGGCCAGGCUGUCUCCACCCGAGACUCAGUGAAAUUGAACUCGCUGUGAAGAUGCAGUGUACCCGCGGCAAGACGGAAAGACCCCGUGAACCUUUACUAUAGCUUGACACUGAACAUUGAGCCUUGAUGUGUAGGAUAGGUGGGAGGCUUUGAAGUGUGGACGCCAGUCUGCAUGGAGCCGACCUUGAAAUACCACCCUUUAAUGUUUGAUGUUCUAACGUUGACCCGUAAUCCGGGUUGCGGACAGUGUCUGGUGGGUAGUUUGACUGGGGCGGUCUCCUCCUAAAGAGUAACGGAGGAGCACGAAGGUUGGCUAAUCCUGGUCGGACAUCAGGAGGUUAGUGCAAUGGCAUAAGCCAGCUUGACUGCGAGCGUGACGGCGCGAGCAGGUGCGAAAGCAGGUCAUAGUGAUCCGGUGGUUCUGAAUGGAAGGGCCAUCGCUCAACGGAUAAAAGGUACUCCGGGGAUAACAGGCUGAUACCGCCCAAGAGUUCAUAUCGACGGCGGUGUUUGGCACCUCGAUGUCGGCUCAUCACAUCCUGGGGCUGAAGUAGGUCCCAAGGGUAUGGCUGUUCGCCAUUUAAAGUGGUACGCGAGCUGGGUUUAGAACGUCGUGAGACAGUUCGGUCCCUAUCUGCCGUGGGCGCUGGAGAACUGAGGGGGGCUGCUCCUAGUACGAGAGGACCGGAGUGGACGCAUCACUGGUGUUCGGGUUGUCAUGCCAAUGGCACUGCCCGGUAGCUAAAUGCGGAAGAGAUAAGUGCUGAAAGCAUCUAAGCACGAAACUUGCCCCGAGAUGAGUUCUCCCUGACUCCUUGAGAGUCCUGAAGGAACGUUGAAGACGACGACGUUGAUAGGCCGGGUGUGUAAGCGCAGCGAUGCGUUGAGCUAACCGGUACUAAUGAACCGUGAG
rnacentral:rRNA from 1 species